UACAGAGGUCCCAAGCGUUGUUCGGAUUCAUUGGGCGUAAAGGGUGCGUAGGCGGCGCGGUAAGUCGGGUGUGAAAUCUCGGGGCUUAACUCCGAAACUGCAUUCGAUACUGCCGUGCUUGAGGACUGGAGAGGAGACUGGAAUUUACGGUGUAGCGGUGAAAUGCGUAGAUAUCAGGAGGAACACCAAUAGCGAAGGCAGCUCGCUGGGACGUUACUGACACUGAGGCGCGAAAGCGUGGGGAGCGAACAGG
rnacentral:rRNA from 1 species